GGCAGCUUCCUGAAGGCUCAGUCCCGAUUCAGCAAUCCUCAUGACCAAACCCAUUGCCCAGCAGCUAAAAAUGAGCAGGUCAGAGAGAAAGAGAAUCAUUUGGCUAAUACUGGGUUAGCCAUAUAAAUCUGGGUUCGAUUCCAUUCAAUGAGCAUAUAUGAAGCGCCUACUAUAAAGCUGGAUAUCAAGGGUCCAGAGGAACAGAUGAAACUCUCUCUGCCCCCAGGGGCAAUGAAAUAUGGAAGAAGGAUGAGAAGGAGACCUGGUCAUAUAUGGAAAACUGUCGAGCUGGGGCAUCAUCACCUAGGAAGGAGAUUCAUAGACUGGAGAGGAUUUACACAAUCAAAGGAAC
rnacentral:lncRNA from 1 species